rnacentral:rRNA from 1 species
CAGCAGUGGGGAAUAUUGCACAAUGGGGGAAACCCUGAUGCAGCGACGCCGCGUGGAGGAAGAAGGUCUUCGGAUUGUAAACUCCUGUUGUUGAGGAAGAUAAUGACGGUACUCAACAAGGAAGUGACGGCUAACUACGUGCCAGCAGCCGCGGUAAAACGUAGGUCACAAGCGUUGUCCGGAAUUACUGGGUGUAAAGGGAGCGCAGGCGGGAAGACAAGUUGGAAGUGAAAUCCAUGGGCUCAACCCAUGAACUGCUUUCAAAACUGUUUUUCUUGAGUAGUGCAGAGGUAGGCGGAAUUCCCGGUGUAGCGGUGGAAUGCGUAGAUAUCGGGAGGAACACCAGUGGCGAAGGCGGCCUACUGGGCACCAACUGACGCUGAGGCUCGAAAGUGUGGGUAGCAAACAGGAUUAGAUACCCUGGUAGUCCACACCGUAAACGAUGAUUACUAGGUGUUGGAGGAUUGACCCCUUCAGUGCCGCAGUUAACACAAUAAGUAAUCCACCUGGGGAGUACGACCGCAAGGUUGAAACUCAAAGGAAUUGACGGGGGCCCGCACAAGCAGUGGAUUAUGUGGUUUAAUUCGAAGCAACGCGAAGAACCUUACCAGGGCUUGACAUCCUACUAACGAAGUAGAGAUACAUCAGGUGCCCUUCGGGGAAAGUAGAGACAGGUGGUGCAUGGUUGUCGUCAGCUCGUGUCGUGAGAUGUUGGGUUAAGUCCCGCAACGAGCGCAACCCCUAUUGUUAGUUGCUACGCAAGAGCACUCUAGCGAGACUGCCGUUGACAAAACGGAGGAAGGUGGGGACGACGUCAAAUCAUCAUGCCCCUUAUGACCUGGGCUACACACGUAAUACAAUGGCCGUUAACAGAGGGAAGCAAAGCGGUGACGCAGAGCAAAACCCUAAAAACGGUCCCAGUUCGGACUGUAGGCUGCAACCCGCCUACACGAAGUUGGAAUUGCUAGUAAUCGCGGAUCAGCAUGCCGCGGUGAAUACGUUCCCGGGCCUUGUACACACCGCCCGUCACACCAUGAGAGCCGGGGGGACCCGAAGUCGGUAGUCUAACCGCAAGGAGGACGCCGCCGAAGGUAAAACUGGUGAUUGGGGUGAAGUCGUAACAAGGUAGCCGUAGGAGAACCUGCGGCUG